GGCUCAGAUUGAACGCUGGCGGCAUGCCUUACACAUGCAAGGUCGAACGGGCAGCACGGGGCAACCUGGUGGCGAGUGGCGAACGGGUGAGCAAUGCAUCGGAACGUGCCAUUGAGUGGGGGAUAACGUAGCGAAAGUUGCGCUAAUACCGCAUAUUCUGUGAGCAGGAAAGCAGGGGACCGCAAGGCCUUGCGCUCUUUGAGCGGCCGAUGUCAGAUUAGCUAGUUGGUGAGGUAACGGCUUACCAAGGCGACGAUCUGUAGCGGGGUCUGAGAGGAUGAUCCGCCACACUGGAACUGAGACACGGUCCAGACUCCUACGGGAGGCAGCAGUGGGGAAUUUUGGACAAUGGGCGCAAGCCUGAUCCAGCCAUGCCGCGUGAGUGAAGAAGGCCUUCGGGUUGUAAAGCUUUUUCGGCCGGGAAGAAAUCGCAUGGGUUAAUACCCUGUGUGGAUGACGGUACCGGAAUAAGAAGCACCGGCUAACUACGUG
rnacentral:rRNA from 1 species